rnacentral:tRNA from 1 species
CGUUCCGCAGCUUGAUUGGAGGAGCGCGGCCCUCCGAAGGCCGAGGUUGUGGGUUCGACUCCCACCGGAACGA